rnacentral:rRNA from 1 species
AUUGAACGCUGGCGGCAGGCCUAACACAUGCAAGUCGAGCGGAUGAGGGGAGCUUGCUCCCUGAUUUAGCGGCGGACGGGUGAGUAAUGCGUAGGAAGCUGCCCGAUAGAGGGGGAUACCAGUUGGAAACGACUGUUAAUACCGCAUAAUGUCUACGGACCAAAGUGUGGGACCUUCGGGCCACAUGCUAUCGGAUGCGCCUACGUGGGAUUAGCUAGUUGGUGAGGUAAUGGCUCACCAAGGCGACGAUCUCUAGCUGGUUUGAGAGGAUGAUCAGCCACACUGGAACUGAGACACGGUCCAGACUCCUACGGGAGGCAGCAGUGGGGAAUAUUGGACAAUGGGCGCAAGCCUGAUCCAGCCAUGCCGCGUGUGUGAAGAAGGCCUUCGGGUUGUAAAGCACUUUCAGCGAGGAGGAAGGGUGGUGUGUUAAUAGCACAUCAUUUUGACGUUACUCGCAGAAGAAGCACCGGCUAACUCUGUGCCAGCCGCCGCGGUAAGAC